rnacentral:lncRNA from 1 species
AGCCACUGCCCCUGGCCAUGUAAGUCUUUUUAAACAUACAUGCACCUAAGAACAAACCUUCAAAGUACAUGAGGCAAAACCAGAUAGAUAUGAAAGGAGAAAUAAGUCUCAAGUUUAGUUAGAAACUUCAAUAGUCCUCUCUCAAUAACUGAUAGAAGCAGGCACAAAAUCAGUAAGAAUACAGAUAUAGAUACCGUAAGACACAGUAAAACAUACUCAAACAAUGUGACUUGGCAUUUCUAGAGCAGACCAAUGGCAGCUGAGUACUAUAGUACUAUACAUAUUCUUCUCAAGUGCACAUGGAACAUUCACUGAGAUAGACAAUAUUCUGGGUCAUAAAGCAAAACUUUACAAUUUCAUGCAAUGUACAUUCUUGGAACAUAAGGAACUUAAACUAGAAAUUAAAACUAGAAAUUAAACUAGUAAAAAGUUAUCUGAAAGUCCUCAAAUAUUUAAAAAUUAAAGAAUAAACUUCUUAAUAACCCAUGGGACAAUGAGGACAUCUCAAGGGAAAUUAAAAAUAUUUUGAACUAAGUAAAGAUAAAAAUAUCAAAAUAUGAUAUACAAGUAAAAGAGUACUUAGAGGGAAAUUUACAGCAGUAAAUUCACACACUAGAAAAGGAGAGGCCAGGCAUGGUGGCUCAUGCCUGUAAUCUUACCACUUUGGGAGGCCAAGGUGGGAGGAUCUCUUGAGCCCAGGAAAUUAAGACCAGCCUGGACAACACAGUGAGACCCCAUCUCUACAAAAAAUUUAAAAAAUCAAUUGGACAUGGUGGUGCAUGCCUGUAGUCUCAGCUACUCAGGAGGCUGAGGUGAGAGGAUUGCUUGAGCCCAGGAGUUUGAGGUUAUAGUGAGCUGUGAUCACACCACUGCAUUCCUGCCUGGGCAACAGAACAAGGCCCUGUCUCUAAAGAAAGAAAGAAAAAGAGAAAGAUCUGAAAUCAAUAACUGAAGUUUAUAUCUUAGGAAACUAGAGGAAGAGAGCAAACUCUUAAGGAAGGAGGAGGACAGAAAUAAAAAUUAAAGCAGAAAUCAAUGAAAUUGAAAAGAGGAAAACAACAAAGAAAACCAGUGAAACCAAAAGUUAGUUUUUGAAAAGAAAUAAAAUUGAUAAAACUGAUAUCCAGGUAAACCAGAAGAGAAGAUAUAUAUUGCCAAUAUCAAAAUUUAAAGAGAAGACAUCAAUACUGAUCUCAUAGACAUUAAAAAGGUCAUAAGAGAAUACUAUGACCUCUGUUCCAAGAGACUUGAAAACUUAGAUUAAAUGCUCAAAUUUCCUGAAAUAUACAAACUACCAAGUUUUACUCAAGAAGAAAAAAAGAACUGAAUAGCUCAAUAUCUAUUAAAGAAAUAGAAUAUGUUAUUUUAAAUCACUUUAAAAAAGAAAACUCCAGGUGAGGGAUAAAAGACUACAAAUUAGGUUCAGUAUAUAUUGCUCAGGUGAUGGGUGCACCUAAACCUCACAAAUCCCCACCAAAGAAUUUACUCAUGUAACCAAAUACCACCUGUUCCCCCAAAACCUACAGAAAUAAAAAAUUUAAUAUAAAAUAAUAAAAAAAGAAAACUCCAGGCCCAGUGGUUUCACCAGUGAAUUCUACCAAACAUUUUAGAGAGAAAUAACACCAACUUUACAUACUCUCUUUCAAAAAAUAAAAAAGGGUAUACUUCCCCCAUUUUAUGAGGCUAACCAUUAUCCUAAUACCACAACAAGACAAACAUAAUAUAAAAAAAAGGAAAUGCAGGCUGGUGUGGUGGUGCAUGCUUAGAAUCCCAGCUACUCAGGAGGCUGAGGCAAGAUAAUUUGAACCCAAGUGUUUAAGACUAGCCUGCGCAACAUAGUGAUAAAGCACCUCAAAAAAAAAAAAAAAAAAAAAAAAGGCCAGAUGUGGUGGCUCAUGCCUGUAAUCCCAGCACUUUGGGAGACUGAAGUGGGCGGAUCACAAGGUUAAAAGUUCAAGGCCAACCUGGCCAACAUGGUGAAACCCCGUCUUUACUAAAAAUACAAAAAUUAGCUGGGUGUGGUGGCGCAUGCCUCUAAUCCCAGCUACUCAGGAGGCCAAGGCAGGAGAAUCGCUUGAACUCGGGAGGUGGAGGUUACAGUGAGCUGAGAUCACGCCACUGCACUCCAGCCUGGGCAACACAGUGAGACUCCAAAAAAAAAAAAAAGAAAAACAAACAAACCCCCCCCCCCAAAAACCAAUUUCUUAACAAAAUACCAACACAUGAAAUCUAACAAUAUAUAAAAAUAACACACCAUGACCAAGUGGAGUUCAUCUCAGGAAGGCAAGGAUAAUUUUACAUUGGAAAAUCAAUCAAUGUAGUUUACCGUAUUAGUAGAGGAAUUAAGAAAACUACAUGAUCAUAUCAAAGAUGCAGAAAAAGCUUUCAGUGAAAUUUGUAAUAAACACUCUCAGCAAUCUAGGAAUAAAUGAAAAUUCCCUUCAUCUAAUAAAAGACAUUCAUGAAAACCCACAGCAAACAUCAUACUUAAUGGUGAGAUACUGAAUGCUUUCCCUCUAGAUCUGAAACAAGGCAAGGAUGUCUUCUCUCAUCAUGCCUAUUCCAUCUCAUACUGGAAGUCCUAACUAAUGUGAUAAGGCAAGAUAAAUAAGUAAAAGGCAUGCAGAUUGGAAAGGAAGAAAUAAUAUUGCAUUUAUUAGCAGACAACCUGUUUACCUAGACUAUUCCAAAUAAUUUACAAAAGUACUUCUGGAACCAAAAAGUGAGUUUAGCAAGAUUGCAGGAUACAACACCAACAUACUAAAAUGAAUUAUGUUCCCAUAUUAGCAAUGAAUAAAUGGAAUAUGAAAGUUUAAAAAAAACAUUUAUAAUAGUGCCCCAAAAAUGCAGUAGUUAGGUACAAAUCUAACAAAAUGUGAGAUGUGAGGAAAGCUAUAAAAACAAUGAUGAAAGAAAUCAAAGAUAUAAAUAGAGAAAAGACAUUAGCAAGAUGGUGGAAUAGCAGCUUUCUACCAUCAUAUCCCCGCAGAAGCACUGAUUUUGACAAGUACCCAUGGAUGAGAGUACUUUGUGGAAGUCCAGAAGUCCAGCAGUGAAGUUCCAGCACAUCACUGGACACACUGAAGAAGAUUGUACUCCUUAAUUAAAAAAAAAAAAGUUGGCUGGGCGUGGUGGCUCAUGCCUAUAAUCCCAGCACUUUGGGAGGCCGAGGCAGGCGGAUCACCUGAGUUCAGGAGUUCGAGACUAGCCUGACCCACAUAGAGAAACCUGGUCUCUACUAAAAAUACAAAAAUUAGCCAGGCGUGGUGGUGCAUGACUGUAAUCCCAGCUACUCGGGAGGCUGAGGAAGGAGAAUCACUUGAACCCGGGAGGCGGAAGUUGCAGUGAGCCGAGAUCGCACCAUUGCACACCAGCCUGGGCAACAAGAGUGAAACUCUGCUUCAAAAAAAAAAAAAAAAAAAAAAAGUUAACUAUAAAACAGCCUCAGGCAGGUCCUUCAAGAGGUAUUCAAGAAGAAAGCAUCGCUAUCAUAGGAGAUGACAGCUCCACCGGUGUUAUUGCCCUUGAAGACCUUUCAGUGGAACAAACUGUGGAGGUGGAAGACUGUGAUACUGAUGAUCCUGACCUCCUGAGAUCGCCCAAUGGGCUCAUAAACAAAAUGGCCAUGGUGGCAGAAACAGAGGUUAUGCAUGGGCUCAGCAACAUGGACUUCCACUCACCAGCUGACCUGACUAAAGGCACUGCCGAGUACCCAAUCUGCCAGCAGCAGAGACUAACAAUGAGUCCCUGAUGUGGCACCAUUCCCCAGGGUGAUCAGGAAGCUACCCGGUGGCAGGUUAAUUACAGUGAGCUGCUUCCAUUAAGGAAGGGGUUAUAUUUUGUUCUCACUGGAACAGACACUCUAUCUAGAUAUGGAUUUGCUUUCCCUGCAUGCAGUGAUUCUACUAAAACCACCAUCUGUGGACUUACAGAUUCACCUUAUCUACUGUCAUAGUAUUCCACACACCGUUGCUUCUGACCAAAGAACUCACUUCACAGCAAAGAAGUAUAGCAAUGGGCCCAUGCUCACGGAAUUCACUGGCCUUACUAUGUUCCCUACCAUCCAGAACCAGGUGGAUUGAUCGAACAAUGGAAUAGCCCUUUGAAGACUUAGUUAUAGCACCAGCUAGGUGGCAAUACCUUGCAGGGCUGGGGAAGGUUCUUCAGAAGUCCGUACAUGCUCUUAAUCAGUAUCCAAUACAUGGCAUGGUUUCUCUGAUAGCCAGGAUUCAAGGGCCCAGGAAUCAAGGGAUGGAAAUGAGAAUGGUACACUAUUACCCCUAGUAAUACCACUAGCAAAAUUUUGGCUUCCUGUUCCCAUGACUUUAUGCUUUACUAGCCUAGAGGUCUUAGUUCCAGAGGGAAGAAUGCUUUCACCAAGAGACAUAAUGAUUCCACUUAACUGCAAGUUGACUGCUACCUGGCCACUUUCGGCUCCUUGUGCCACUGA